CGUCCGUCGUGAAGAGGGAAACAACCCAGACCGCCAGCUAAGGUCCCAAAGUCAUGGUUAAGUGGGAAACGAUGUGGGAAGGCCCAGACAGCCAGGAUGUUGGCUUAGAAGCAGCCAUCAUUUAAAGAAAGCGUAAUAGCUCACUGGUCGAGUCGGCCUGCGCGGAAGAUGUAACGGGGCUAAACCAUGCACCGAAGCUGCGGCAGCGACACUAUGUGUUGUUGGGUAGGGGAGCGUUCUGUAAGCCUGUGAAGGUGGCCUGUGAGGGUUGCUGGAGGUAUCAGAAGUGCGAAUGCUGACAUAAGUAACGAUAAAGCGGGUGAAAAGCCCGCUCGCCGGAAGACCAAGGGUUCCUGUCCAACGUUAAUCGGGGCAGGGUGAGUCGACCCCUAAGGCGAGGCCGAAAGGCGUAGUCGAUGGGAAACAGGUUAAUAUUCCUGUACUUGGUGUUACUGCGAAGGGGGGACGGAGAAGGCUAUGUUGGCCGGGCGACGGUUGUCCCGGUUUAAGCGUGUAGGCUGGUUUUCCAGGCAAAUCCGGAAAACCAAGGCUGAGGCGUGAUGACGAGGCACUACGGUGCUGAAGCGACAAAUGCCCUGCUUCCAGGAAAAGCCUCUAAGCAUCAGGUAACAUCAAAUCGUACCCCAAACCGACACAGGUGGUCAGGUAGAGAAUACCAAGGCGCUUGAGAGAACUCGGGUGAAGGAACUAGGCAAAAUGGUGCCGUAACUUCGGGAGAAGGCACGCUGAUAUGUAGGUGAAGCGACUUGCUCGUGGAGCUGAAAUCAGUCGAAGAUACCAGCUGGCUGCAACUGUUUAUUAAAAACACAGCACUGUGCAAACACGAAAGUGGACGUAUACGGUGUGACGCCUGCCCGGUGCCGGAAGGUUAAUUGAUGGGGUUAGCGGUAACGCGAAGCUCUUGAUCGAAGCCCCGGUAAACGGCGGCCGUAACUAUAACGGUCCUAAGGUAGCGAAAUUCCUUGUCGGGUAAGUUCCGACCUGCACGAAUGGCGUAAUGAUGGCCAGGCUGUCUCCACCCGAGACUCAGUGAAAUUGAACUCGCUGUGAAGAUGCAGUGUACCCGCGGCAAGACGGAAAGACCCCGUGAACCUUUACUAUAGCUUGACACUGAACAUUGAGCCUUGAUGUGUAGGAUAGGUGGGAGGCUUUGAAGUGUGGACGCCAGUCUGCAUGGAGCCGACCUUGAAAUACCACCCUUUAAUGUUUGAUGUUCUAACGUUGGCCCGUAAUCCGGGUUGCGGACAGUGUCUGGUGGGUAGUUUGACUGGGGCGGUCUCCUCCUAAAGAGUAACGGAGGAGCACGAAGGUUGGCUAAUCCUGGUCGGACAUCAGGAGGUUAGUGCAAUGGCAUAAGCCAGCUUGACUGCGAGCGUGACGGCGCGAGCAGGUGCGAAAGCAGGUCAUAGUGAUCCGGUGGUUCUGAAUGGAAGGGCCAUCGCUCAACGGAUAAAAGGUACUCCGGGGAUAACAGGCUGAUACCGCCCAAGAGUUCAUAUCGACGGCGGUGUUUGGCACCUCGAUGUCGGCUCAUCACAUCCUGGGGCUGAAGUAGGUCCCAAGGGUAUGGCUGUUCGCCAUUUAAAGUGGUACGCGAGCUGGGUUUAGAACGUCGUGAGACAGUUCGGUCCCUAUCUGCCGUGGGCGCUGGAGAACUGAGGGGGGCUGCUCCUAGUACGAGAGGACCGGAGUGGACGCAUCACUGGUGUUCGGGUUGUCAUGCCAAUGGCACUGCCCGGUAGCUAAAUGCGGAAGAGAUAAGUGCUGAAAGCAUCUAAGCACGAAACUUGCCCCGAGAUGAGUUCUCCCUGACUCCUUGAGAGUCCUGAAGGAACGUUGAAGACGACGACGUUGAUAGGCCGGGUGUGUAAGCGCAGCGAUGCGUUGAGCUAACCGGUACUAAUGAACCGUGAGGCUUAACCUU
rnacentral:rRNA from 1 species